rnacentral:rRNA from 1 species
CUUGCUCCACCGGAAAAAGAAGAGUGGCGAACGGGUGAGUAACACGUGGGUAACCUGCCCAUCAGAAGGGGAUAACACUUGGAAACAGGUGCUAAUACCGUAUAACAAUCAAAACCGCAUGGUUUUGAUUUGAAAGGCGCUUUCGGGUGUCGCUGAUGGAUGGACCCGCGGUGCAUUAGCUAGUUGGUGAGGUAACGGCUCACCAAGGCCACGAUGCAUAGCCGACCUGAGAGGGUGAUCGGCCACAUUGGGACUGAGACACGGCCCAAACUCCUACGGGAGGCAGCAGUAGGGAAUCUUCGGCAAUGGACGAAAGUCUGACCGAGCAACGCCGCGUGAGUGAAGAAGGUUUUCGGAUCGUAAAACUCUGUUGUUAGAGAAGAACAAGGAUGAGAGUAACUGUUCAUCCCUUGACGGUAUCUAACCAGAAAGCCACGGCUAACUACGUGCCAGCAGCCGCGGUAAUACGUAGGUGGCAAGCGUUGUCCGGAUUUAUUGGGCGUAAAGCGAGCGCAGGCGGUUUCUUAAGUCUGAUGUGAAAGCCCCCGGCUCAACCGGGGAGGGUCAUUGGAAACUGGGAGACUUGAGUGCAGAAGAGGAGAGUGGAAUUCCAUGUGUAGCGGUGAAAUGCGUAGAUAUAUGGAGGAACACCAGUGGCGAAGGCGGCUCUCUGGUCUGUAACUGACGCUGAGGCUCGAAAGCGUGGGGAGCAAACAGGAUUAGAUACCCUGGUAGUCCACGCCGUAAACGAUGAGUGCUAAGUGUUGGAGGGUUUCCGCCCUUCAGUGCUGCAGCUAACGCAUUAAGCACUCCGCCUGGGGAGUACGACCGCAAGG